rnacentral:rRNA from 1 species
GACGAACGCUGGCGGCGUGCCUAAUACAUGCAAGUAGAACGCACAGUUUAUACCGUAGCUUGCUACACCAUAAACUGUGAGUUGCGAACGGGUGAGUAACGCGUAGGUAACCUGCCUGGUAGCGGGGGAUAACUAUUGGAAACGAUAGCUAAUACCGCAUAAUAUUGAUUAUUGCAUGAUAAUUGAUUGAAAGAUGCUAUUGCAUCACUACCAGAUGGACCUGCGUUGUAUUAGCUAGUAGGUGAGGUAACGGCUCACCUAGGCGACGAUACAUAGCCGACCUGAGAGGGUGAUCGGCCACACUUGGACUGAGACACGGCCCAGACUCCUACGGGAGGCAGCAGUAGGGAAUCUUCGGCAAUGGACGAAAGUCUGACCGAGCAACGCCGCGUGAGUGAAGAAGGGUUUCGGAUCGUAAAGCUCUGUUGUAAGAGAAGAACGGGUGUGAGAGUGGAAAGUUCACACUGUGACGGUAUCUUACCAGAAAGGGACGGCUAACUACGUG